GACGAACGCUGGCGGCAGGCCUAACACAUGCAAGUCGAGCGGACCUUUCGGGGUCAGCGGCGGACGGGUGAGUAACGCGUGGGAAUAUGCCCUUCUCUACGGAAUAGUCCUGGGAAACUGGGGGUAAUACCGUAUACGCCCUUUGGGGGAAAGAUUUAUCGGGGAAGGAUUAGCCCGCGUUGGAUUAGGUAGUUGGUGGGGUAAUGGCCUACCAAGCCGACGAUCCAUAGCUGGUUUGAGAGGAUGAUCAGCCACACUGGGACUGAGACACGGCCCAGACUCCUACGGGAGGCAGCAGUGGGGAAUCUUAGAAAAUGGGGGCAACCCGGAUCUAGCCAUGCCGCGUGAGUGAUGAAGGCCUUAGGGUUGUAAAGCUCUUUCAGCUGGGAAGAUAAUGACGGUACCAGCAGAAGAAGCCCCGGCUAACUCCGUG
rnacentral:rRNA from 1 species